rnacentral:rRNA from 1 species
CCUACGGGAGGCAGCAGUGGGGAAUAUUUCACAAUGGGGGAAACCCUGAUGCAGCAACGCCGCGUGAAGGAAUACGGUUUUCGGAUUGUAAACUUCUGGUCUUAGUGAAGAAUAAUGACGAUAGCGAAGGAGCAAGCCACGGCUAACUACGUGCUAGCAGCCGCGGUAAUACGGAGGUGGCAAGCGUUGCCCGGUAUUACUGGGUGUAAAGGGAGCGCAGGCGGGGAGCGAAGUCAGCUGUGAAAUCUACGGGCUGAACUUGUAGACUGCAGAUGAAACUGGUUUUCUUGAGUGAAGUAGAGGGUAGCGGAAUUCCGGGUGUAGCGGUGAAAUGCGUAGAUAUUCGGAGGAACACUGGUGGCGAAGGCGGCCAACUGGGCUUUAACUGACGCUGAGGCUCGAAAGUGUGGGGAGCGAACAGGAUUAGAUACCCCAGUAGUC